GAGCAACCUUUAUGAAGUUGAAAAGUUUCAGUCAUUAUUGUUUACAUGUUUAGAAGAAAUUAAAACAUCUACAAAGACAACGUUUUGUUUUCGACAAAAUUAGGCUCAUUCUGCUCAUCAACCAUUGUUAUCCUGCUAAAUGGAUUGAUAUGGAAUUUUAUUUAAAGUAUUCAGAUUACGUGGUGGAUAUUAUCAAGUCCUUUCAUCAGACAGUUUCAGAGCCAAUAAUAAAAUAUGCUUUACAAUCAAACAGUAUUUACAUCAUAGCUGGAGCUGUAAUGGCAUCUGUAAUAGCAUCAAAACACAAUGAGCAUGGACUUCAAAAUGUUACUGAGGAAAAGGAGUCAUCUUAUUCAGUAAUUUUAAUGCAGGGGCAGGAGGCAGAGAAAAUUCUUGCCAUAAAGAUAGCAACCAAGAAAGUUUUUCUUGAUCUGUACAUCUAUCGUAGAGGGUAAAGAUCGUUUUUUCAAGCUUUUUUGGUACUUUAACAUUGUGUACCAGUCAUAAACAGUCAUGUUCUGGCAAUUAGUGCAAAACAUCUAUGGCCUAUAGUAUGGUAUGCUACCAAUAGGAGUUAUAGAGUUUUUAUCAACACUUGCUAAAUAUGUUAAGUUUUUAUUUCUAGUGUAUUAUUUACUCAUCCUGAUAUACAUUUCAGAUUUUGUUA